UACGGAGGGUGCAAGCGUUAUCCGGAUUCACUGGGUUUAAAGGGUGCGUAGGCGGGCUUGUAAGUCAGUGGUGAAAGCCCGGAGCUUAACUCCGGAACUGCCAUUGAUACUGCAAAUCUUGAGUACACUUGAGGUGGGCGGAAUACAUCAUGUAGUGGUGAAAUACUUAGAUAUGAUGUAGAACACCGAUUGCGAAGGCAGCUCACUAAAUUGUAACUGACGCUGAGGCACGAAAGCGUGGGGAUCAAACAGG
rnacentral:rRNA from 1 species